UCCCUGGUGGUUCAGUGGUAAAGAAUCCGCCUGCAAUGUGGGAGACCCGGGUUCAAUCCCUCGCUUGGGAA
rnacentral:tRNA from 1 species